rnacentral:tRNA from 1 species
CCUCUUGUAGCUUAGUAGUCAGAGUAUUGGUGCGUAAAGCCAAAGGUCCCGGGUUCGAUUCCCGGGGAGGG